rnacentral:ncRNA from 1 species
UGAAUCCCGCCUGGGUAAGUGCUAGCCACACGCCCAGUAUCGAGUGUUGCAGCCAAUCAAGUAGGCAUCAUGAGCUGAAGUGGUUGGUUGAAGCGUACACAGAAAGGUAGUGAGGGUGAAUGGAUCGCAGGUGGCCCUGCGGCCAUGAACGGGAAUAGCUCCGAAAUUUGGUAACUGUUGGAACUGCUUACGGUUUGUGCAUGCCUGAAAGCAACAUCGCUUGGUGCGUCAUUGGCGAGCCUCAAGCGGAGACCCGGAGUCGGCGCCCC